rnacentral:rRNA from 1 species
UACGGGGGGGGCAAGCGUUGUUCGGAUUUACUGGGCGUAAAGGGCGCGUAGGCGGUCAGCACAGGUCAGUUGUGAAAUCUCCGGGCUUAACUCGGAAAGGUCAACUGAUACUGUGCGACUAGAGUGCAGAAGGGGCAACUGGAAUUCUCGGUGUAGCGGUGAAAUGCGUAGAGAUCGGCAGGAACACCCAGGGGGAAACCAGUCGACUGGGCAUCUACUGACGCUGAGGUGCGAGAGCGUGGGGAGCGAACCGG